rnacentral:rRNA from 1 species
GAGGAUUACACUGUCUCCCCCCCUAAAUCAAUGAAACUGAUCCCCCCGUGAAGAAGCGGGGAUAAAUAUAUAAGACGAGAAGACCCUAUGGAGCUUUAAACUAAACACCACUUACCUUUAACCACUCCCUUACAAACAGGUAAAGAUCGUGUGUGUUUUCAGUUGGGGUGACUGCGGAGCAAAAUAAAACCUCCACGAUGAAACAAUCCUCUAAUCUAAGAACAACAUUUCAAAGAAUCAACAAAUUGACAUAAAUUGACCCAAAUAUUAAUUUGAUCAACGAACCAAGUUACCCUAGGGAUAACAGCGCAAUCCAUUUCAAGAGCUCAUAUCGACAAAUG